GAUGAACGCUGGCGGCGUGCCUAAUACAUGCAAGUCGAACGCUGGAGAUCUAGCUUGCUAGAUCGAAGGAGUGGCGAACGGGUGAGUAAUACAUAAGCAACCUACCCACGAAGACUGGGAUAAUCUCUGGAAACGGGGACUAAUACCGGAUAGGUAAUCGGAAGGCAUCUUCUGGUUAUUAAAGGUUAAAAACACUGGUGGAUGGGCUUAUGGCGCAUUAGUUAGUUGGUGAGGUAACGGCCCACCAAGACGAUGAUGCGUAGCCGGCCUGAGAGGGUGAACGGCCACAUUGGGACUGGGACACGGCCCAGACGCCUACGGGAGGCAGCAGUAGGGAAUUUUCGGCAAUGGGGGCAACCCUGACCGAGCAACGCCGCGUGAGUGAAGACGGCCUUCGGGUUGUAAAGCUCUGUUGUAAGGGAAGAACGGUAGAUAGAGAAUAUCUAAGUGACGGUACCUUACCAGAAAGCCACGGCUAACUACGUG
rnacentral:rRNA from 1 species